GCCUCCACCCAGUCAGCCCGCUCAGCCGGCCCCAGGUGGGGGGAGGGCGCCUGAUGGUAGGGCUGUGGGGACUCUCACUCUGCGCUUUCCCAUGAGGACGCCUCAGCCCCGCAACCUCGAGGCAGGCAAAAGAGGGAGUCCAGUGGAUCACAGUGAGAGAGAAUUUCAAAACUGAUGCAGCGAUCUCCUCGUUUGGCUGCAAACACACUCUGUGAAGACUGAAUUGGAAGGUAAGACCUACUGUUGCAGUUCCACUUCAAGCAGUAAACUGGCUUUGGCUUCCUGUGUUGGAGAAGUCCUGGAAGACACUGUACCUUGUUAUAAAACUUCAGCUGCAAAUGUUUCUCCUUCGCAGAGGCUCGUGAACAUUAGAAAGAGAAAACGUAAGACGAGGGACGAGAUGUUCACGGAGCUGCAGAUGUCCGCCCAGGCUGAUAGAGCACAGCAGAAUGCGUGGAGGCAGUCAAUGUCGGAGAUGAGAAAAGCCCAACAUGAA